rnacentral:snRNA from 1 species
UCAAAGUGAAGAAAUUCAACCAAGCGCG